UUUUUAGCAUCAUGACAUUCUGUAUCAUUGAUAAAAUUUGAUAAAUUUACAAAUCUGAUAAAAUUCUUGAAUUUUUUUAUAUCUCAUUACGGGUGUGCCAUAUCCCAUCAUAAUAAUCAGUGUUUUUUCAUAUCGCAAAGAGUGUUAUCACGAAAAUACCAUAAAAUAUUGUCAUAUAACAUUAAGGCAAUAUCACCCAUAAAAACAAGUUACUCUUGUUCAGCAGGUUAAUCUUAUACUGCCAGCAUUUAGAUGGAACAUUAAUAAUGAUUAAUUAAGAAAAUAAAUAAUAAAGCUUUUCUUUUUAGAUUUCCAGUUAUCAGCUUAACAAAAUAUCUUGCUGUACCAUGUGAAACAUUCCUACAUUGCCCAAAAAGUCAAGCGCUGGGUCCGAAUGUGUCACACAGACAGAUUAAACCACUAUCUUUUGACUUUUGAUAUCCUGCUGCAGUUAUUUAGCUAAAAAUUAAAUUCAUGGUUUAAAUAAAUAUUAAUUAUGUUUGUGUUUUCAUAUUAUUAAUACAGUGUUUUGAAUGAUUUACAAAUAAUAUUUUGUACAGGCCUUUUCUAGGUUGUCAUAACGUAAAAAUGCCCGUUUCACAGAACUUAAAUUAUGACAAAAACUCUACAUAAAAAUCUAGUGCAGUAAAUUACCUUUAAAUGUUGGGUUUUUAAAUUGUACAGUGUCUUAUUUGUAUUUUACUUAAAUGUAACAGGAGGACAGGUAAGACUUUAGAAAACAAUCUGUGUCGCUUUUUGAAAGGUCAUAAGAAACCACAGCAUGUAUGAACUAGAUAAAGAUUAGAGACUGAAGCUGUUCUGCUGGAACUGCAGCUGCAGAAAGCAAAAGGUCAUGUUUUUUAACUUUCCGCUCACUGUGUACCCUUAGAGCUGUAGGUGAAGGUGGGCAUGUCUGUUAGAAGUGCUGUAUAUUCAGAGAUAAAUGACCAAAGCCAUUUUUCUCCUGAUCCAGAUGCUGGUGCAUAUGAGAACGUCUUCCCUGCAAAAUAUAUUGACCAUGACUCUGACAGCUACGAUUAUGAAAACGCACAGUAUCUGCAGAACAACGAUGACGAUGAACCUGAUUAUGAAAAUACUAAUCCCCUUGUUCAUCAUGAAAACAUGAGUUAAAAUGUUAAUUUAUUUCAGUACCUCGAAGCAAUUAAAGUAUAAUUUUAGCUAAAGCUAGUGAUACCAACUAUAUCUGUAUUUUCUUAUUAGGUGGUUUUAUGGAGUGUUACUGUGAAUUCAUGUUUUUUUUGUGUGAAAUGAUGUAACAAAAUGUAGAUUUUAUUUGUUAUUUUAUCUGUUGUUACAAGCA
rnacentral:lncRNA from 1 species